UCUUACGAGUAGCAGCAAUGGGGAAUAUUUGGCAACGAGCGCAAGCGUGUCCCAGCAACGCCUCGUGAAGGAAGAAGGCUUUCGGGUUGUAAAAUUAUUUUGUCAGAGAUGAGCAGAAGUCGGUACCUGAGAAAUAAGCCUCUGCUAUCUAUGUGCCAGCACCCGCGGUAAUAUGUAGGUGGCAAGCGUUGUCUGGAUUUUUUGGGUGUAAAGGGCGUGUAGCCGGGAGGGCAAGUCUAGAUGUGAAAUCCACGGGUGUUAACUCGUGAAUCUGCAUUUGAAACUGUCAAACUAGAGAGCAGGAGAGGAAAGUGGAAUUCCUAGUGUAACGGGUAAAUGCGUAGAUAUUAGGAAGAACACCAGUGGCGUAGCCGGCUUUCUGGAUUGUAACUGACACUGUGGCACGAAAGCGUGGGGAGCAUACAGGAUUAGAUACCAUGGUAGUCCACGCUGUAAACGAUGAAUACUAGGUGUCGGAGGGUUAUACAUUUGGUGCUGUCGCUAACGCAUUAAGUAUUCCACCUGGGGAGUACGUUCGCAAGAAUAAAACUCAAUGGAAUCGACGUGGACCCGCACAAGCGGUGGAGCAUGUGGUUUAAUUCGAAGCAACGUGAAGAACCUUUACAGCCCUUGUCAUCCCUUGCAGAGGUAUAGAUAUAUAUUCGAUGUUAUCAAGGAGACAGGUGGUGCAUGGUUGUCGUCAGAUUGUGUCGUGAGAUUCUGGGUUCAGUCCGGCGGUGAGUCGCAUCCGUUGUGAUAUUUUUCUAACAUUGAGUUGGGGAGUCAUAUCACCCUGCCUGGUGAUAAACCGGAGGAUGGUGGGGAUGCAGUCAAUUCAUCAUGCCCCUUAAGGCCUGGGCAACACACCUUGUACAAUGGGCUGUACAAAGAGCGGCAAGCGUGUGAAGCCAAGGGAAUUUCAUAAAGGAUGUCUCAGUUGGGAUCGAAUUGUGCACCCUGAGUUCAGGAAGUUGGAACCGUUAGUAAUGGCGAAUCAGCAUGUAGCGGUGAAUAAGUUUUCGUCCUUAGCACACACCGCCCUUCA
rnacentral:rRNA from 1 species